AUUUGUGUCUCUUUGCUUUUCAAUUCAGAGUUAAUUGUGCUUCACCAGCAUCUAUCACUUGUCCAAGUUCAACGAUUCAGUCCUUAAAUCAGACUUCCUAGGCUAAGCGGGUUGCUUUCCCUGUGGCGGGCACCUGGCUUUAUUUCAUCUGGUUGCCUUAAAACUUGUUCAAGAAAGAGGACUUUGGCCCAGAGGAUUUUCAUAAUAGAGCUUUUACCUCCCACACAUCUCCAGUCUGCAACACUAAUCGGAUUACAUUCUGCAAAACUUGCAUUCUCAGAGAAUCUGGGCUCUGUGUGCAACGACUAUGAAUUAAAUCCAGAUGGGUACAGUGCUCAGUGCGGGUAAAAACAAAUAAAGCUGUAAAAGUUCAGGCAUGAAUACAGGAAUGGAAUGGCAGCUUUCAGCAACCAGCUUGUGGCACCACAAUUUCAGUGAAAAGGGGGAGAUGGUGGAAAGAGUAUGAGGCAGGGAUGAAAGUGAUGAAUUCAUUGAAAAAUGAGGAGGGGGAAAAGAAAGAAAGGGAAGUGAGUGGAGGCUGCACGGGGUGGUGGAAAGAAGCUGGGAUUUGGUCUUGGGGUGCCUAAGUCCUGACCCUGGUACUUACCAGCUGUGGGAACUUCCAUAAAUCACUCACCUUUCUGAGCCUCAUUUUUCAAGGGUUUAAAAAUGGGAUCAUCAACACCAUCAUCAUCUUAUGGACUUCACAGGGUUGUUAGGAGGCUUAUUAAAAGAGGAUGGGCAUGGGAUGCUUUAGAGAAACUGCCAGGUAGACAGCAGUGUUACUAAUAACUUAUUGAGGACCACUGAGGCUAAUGUAAACAUGACGGAAAGGAGAGGAACUGGGCCUUUUAAACACUAUGGUAGAAGAAAAAUAUUCAAAAGGUAUCUUAAAAAUAACUUGCCAGAGAUACUAACUGGGGGGGGGGUGGAGGGUGUGGACCAGCCUUCAUCAGAGCAGCCUGAGCAGAAGCAGGAGGGCAAAGCAGGACCACUCAGGCUCUGUCACACAUGCCAGUCCAGGCUGUGGGCUCUUCACAAUGACAGGAAAAACAAUGAAACGUGAUCAGCAGUUAUCCUCUUCCGGCUGGCAGAAUGGCCUCCCAAAGAUGUCUGCACCCUCAUCCCUGGAACCUGCGAACAUGCUGUGUGACCUGGCGAAAGGGACUUCGCAGAUGUAAGUAAGAGAUCAGAAGAGCAC